UGCAACGCGAAGAACCUUACCUGGUCUUGACAUCCACAGAAGAUUGCAGAGAUGGAUUGGUGCCUUCGGGAACUGUGAGACAGGUGCUGCAUGGCCGUCGUCAGCUCGUGUUGUGAGAUGUUGGGUUAAGUCCCGCAACGAGCGCAACCCCUAUCCUUGGUUGCUAGCAGGUAAUGGUGGGAACUCCAGGGAGACUGCCGGUGACAAACCGGAGGAAGGUGGGGAUGACGUCAGGUCAUCAUGGCCCUUACGACCAGGGCUACACACGUGCUACAAUGGCGCGUACAGAGGGCUGCAAACUCGCGAGAGUGAGCCAAUCCCUUAAAACUCGUCGUAGUCCGGAUCGGAGUCUGCAACUCGACUCCGUGAAGUCGGAAUCGCUAGUAAUCGUGAAUCAGAAUGUCGCGGUGAAUACGUUCCCGGGCCUUGUACACACCGCCCGUCACACCAUGGGAGUGGAUUGCACCAGAAGUAGUU
rnacentral:rRNA from 1 species